rfam:Triticum aestivum genome assembly, contig: Triticum_aestivum_CS42_TGACv1_scaffold_226595_3B
CAAGUACUCCCUCCGUUCGGAAUUAGUUGUCGCAAAAAUGGUUGUAUCUAGAAUUAAAAUAGGUCUAGAUACAUCAAUUCCUUCGACAAGUAAUUUAGAACGGAGGGAGUAGUAU